UACGUAGGGUGCGAGCGUUAAUCGGAAUUACUGGGCGUAAAGCGUGCGCAGGCGGCGCGUUAAGACAGGUGUGAAAGCCCCGAGCUUAACUUGGGAAUUGCGCUUGUGACUGGCGUGCUGGAGUGUGGCAGAGGGAGGUGGAAUUCCACGUGUAGCAGUGAAAUGCGUAGAGAUGUGGAGGAACACCGAUGGCGAAGGCAGCCUCCUGGGCCAGCACUGACGCUCAUGCACGAAAGCGUGGGGAGCAAACAGGG
rnacentral:rRNA from 1 species